rnacentral:rRNA from 1 species
GAUGAACGCUGGCGGCGUGCUUAACACAUGCAAGUCGAACGAUGAGGCCCAGCUUUUGGGGUGUGCUAGUGUCGAGCAGGUGUGAAUCACGCGAGUAUCCCCUGCCUUAGUCUUGGGUAUGCCUUCGGAACUCGGGGUCAUAUCCGAGAUGGGCGCUCCUGCCGCGGGGUGGGUGUGGGAAAGUUUCCGCGGUUGGGGAUGGACUCGCGGCAUAUCAGCUUGUUGGUGGGGUAGUGGCUUACCAAGGCUUUGACGGGUAGCCGGCCUGAGAGGGUGACCGGCCACACUGGGACUGAGACAUGGCCCAGACUCCUACGGGAGGCAGCAGUGGGGAAUAUUGCACAAUGGGCGGAAGCCUGAUGCAGCAACGCCGCGUGAGGGAUGACGGCCUUCGGGUUGUAAACCUCUUUCGGUAGUGACGAAGCGUGAGUGACGGUACCUGCUAAAGAAGCACCGGCUAACUACGUG